GGAUUACUGUUUGGUAAUAAUACCUUCGAAAGAAUAGAAGAUGAUGGUCUACGCGGAUGUCUUCGUAUAAUGCUUAAGCUUAACAACAGAGGUAUCAAACGAAGUUCAGAAGGAGGAUCGAUUGAAGAGGAUCUUGCUUCACCACUAAUUAGAUGGAUACCGGAUACUGAUGAGGCAUUUAACGAACAAAUAACGAAAUACGCGGCGUCCUAUACUGUUAAUGGAUGUUACCCUCCUGCGCAUAUUCUAUGCCAUGCAGAAAAAUUCAAAUCUGGGACAUCGUACAUAUGUAUAUAUAGACGGUGAAUUGAUCAGAUGUAGGGACAACAUGAUCACAUGUAUCGAUGUUCUUGUGAAAGCUUUCGUUGUAUUCCAUGUGAAACCGCCAGCUCAGUUAUAUAAAUUAAUUGAUUUCCUUUAUAUCACUGGGUACAAAAUA